rnacentral:tRNA from 1 species
AAGGAUUUAAGUUAAAUUAAACUCGUAGCCUUCAAAGCUUCUAAUAAAGAAAUCUUUAAGCCUUA